GACGAACGCUGGCGGCGUGCCUAAUACAUGCAAGUAGAACGCUGAAGGAGGAGCUUGCUUCUCCGGAUGAGUUGCGAACGGGUGAGUAACGCGUAGGUAACCUGCCUGGUAGCGGGGGAUAACUAUUGGAAACGAUAGCUAAUACCGCAUAACAGUAGAUAUUGCAUGAUAUCUGCUUGAAAGGUGCAAUUGCAUCACUACCAGAUGGACCUGCGUUGUAUUAGCUAGUUGGUGAGGUAACGGCUCACCAAGGCGACGAUACAUAGCCGACCUGAGAGGGUGAUCGGCCACACUGGGACUGAGACACGGCCCAGACUCCUACGGGAGGCAGCAGUAGGGAAUCUUCGGCAAUGGACGGAAGUCUGACCGAGCAACGCCGCGUGAGUGAAGAAGGUUUUCGGAUCGUAAAGCUCUGUUGUAAGAGAAGAACGAGUGUGAGAGUGGAAAGUUCACACUGUGACGGUAUCCUACCAGGAAGGGACGGCUAACUACGUGCCAGCAGCCGCGGUAAUACGUAGGUCCCGAGCGUUGUCCGGAUUUAUUGGGCGUAAAGCGAGCGCAGGCGGUUAGAUAAGUCUGAAGUUAAAGGCUGUGGCUUAACCAUAGUACGCUUUGGAAACUGUUUAACUUGAGUGCAAGAGGGGAGAGUGGAAUUCCAUGUGUAGCGGUGAAAUGCGUAGAUAUAUGGAGGAACACCGGUGGCGAAAGCGGCUCUCUGGCUUGUAACUGACGCUGAGGCUCGAAAGCGUGGGGAGCAAACAGG
rnacentral:rRNA from 1 species